rnacentral:rRNA from 1 species
UCCUACGGGAGGCAGCAGUGAGGAAUAUUGGUCAAUGGGCGAGAGCCUGAACCAGCCAAGUAGCGUGCAGGAUGACGGCCCUAUGGGUUGUAAACUGCUUUUAUGCGGGGAUAAAGUGAGGGACGUGUCCUUCAUUGCAGGUACCGCAUGAAUAAGGACCGGCUAAUUCCGUGCCAGCAGCCGCGGUAAUACGGAAGGUCCGGGCGUUAUCCGGAUUUAUUGGGUUUAAAGGGAGCGUAGGCCGUGGAUUAAGCGUGUUGUGAAAUGUAGACGCUCAACGUCUGACUUGCAGCGCGAACUGGUUCACUUGAGUGUGCACAACGCAGGCGGAAUUCGUCGUGUAGCGGUGAAAUGCUUAGAUAUGACGAAGAACUCCGAUUGCGAAGGCAGCUUGCGGGAGCACAACUGACGCUGAAGCUCGAAAGUGCGGGUAUCGAACAGGAUUAGAUACCCUGGUAGUCCGCACGGUAAACGAUGGAUGCCCGUUGUCAGGCUGUUUCAGCCUGGUGACCAAGCGAAAGCAUUAAGCAUCCCACCUGGGGAGUACGCCGGCAACGGUGAAACUCAAAGGAAUUGACGGGGGCCCGCACAAGCGGAGGAACAUGUGGUUUAAUUCGAUGAUACGCGAGGAACCUUACCCGGGCUUGAAUUGCAGACGAACGAUUCAGAGAUGAAGAGGCCCUUCGGGGCGUCUGUGAAGGUGCUGCAUGGUUGUCGUCAGCUCGUGCCGUGAGGUGUCGGCUUAAGUGCCAUAACGAGCGCAACCCCUUUUCUUAGUUGCCAUCAGGUAAUGCUGGGCACUCUGGGGAUACUGCCACCGUAAGGUGUGAGGAAGGUGGGGAUGACGUCAAAUCAGCACGGCCCUUACGUCCGGGGCUACACACGUGUUACAAUGGCCGGUACAGAGGGACGGUGUAAUGUAAAUUGCAUCAAAUCUUGAAAGCCGGUCCCAGUUCGGACUGGGGUCUGCAACCCGACCCCACGAAGCUGGAUUCGCUAGUAAUCGCGCAUCAGCCAUGGCGCGGUGAAUACGUUCCCGGGCCUUGUACACACCGCCCGUCAAGCCAUGAAAGCCGGGGGUGCCUGAAGUCCGUGACCGCAAGGAUCGGCCUAGGGCAAAACUGGUGAUUGGGGCUAAGUCGUAACAAGGUAGCCGUACCGGAAGGUGCGGCUG